rnacentral:tRNA from 1 species
GUCAGGAUGGCUGAGUGGUCUAAGGUGCCAGACUUAAGUUCUGGUCUCCCAAAGGAGGUGUGGGUUCAAAUCCCCCUUCUGACA